rnacentral:rRNA from 1 species
UACGAACGGGGCGAGCGUUGUUCGGAUUUACUGGGCGUAAAGCGCAUGUAGGCGGGCCGUUAAGUCCGGGGUGAAAUCCCGGAGCUUAACCCCGGAACUGCCUUGGAUACUGAUGGUCUGGAGCAAGUCAGGGGCGAGUGGAACUGCCGGUGGAGAGGUGAAAUGCGUAGAUAUCGGAAGGAACACCAGUGGCGAAGGCGAGCCGCUGGGACUUUGCUGACGCUGAGAUGCGAAAGCGUGGGGAGCAAACAGG